UUCCUUGAAAACGUAUCGUGAUGGGGAUAGAACAUUGCAAUUAUUGUUCUUCAACGAGGAAUGCCUAGUAAGCGCGAGUCAUCAUCUCGCGUUGAUUACGUCCCUGCCCUUUGUACACACCGCCCGUCGCUCCUACCGAUUGAACGUGCUGGUGAAGCGUUAGGACUGGAACUUCGGGCAGGUCUCCUGCUCAUUGUUUCGGGAAUUUCGUUGAACCCUCCCGUUUAGAGGAAGGAGAAGUCGUAACAAGGUCUCCGUAGGUGAACCUGCGGAGGGAUCAUUGAAACCGAUCAAACCAACCCCAGAGCACUUGUGGGCGCCGCGCCUCCCCCGGGGGGAGCGGCGUCCGCCGUUUUCGGAACCGCCGGUGAGGUGCGCUCCCCCGGGGGCGCGCCCCUGCCGUGCGGGGCCCUAACCCAUGAAACCUUCUGCCCUGAAGCAGCUUCGUACGGGGACACCCCUGCGAUCUAACUGAGACAACUCUCAACAACGGAUAUCUAGGCUCUCGCAACGAUGAAGAACGCAGCGAAAUGCGAUACGUAGUGUGAAUUGCAGAAUUCCGUGAGUCAUCGAAUCUUUGAACGCACAUUGCCGGUCGAGUCUUCGGACGAGACCACAUCUGCCUCAGCGUCGGGAUACCCCCUCACGCCCGCUCGCGAGAGCGGGCCGUGGACCUGGCCCCCCCGGUCCUUGCGGCCGGUGCUGGCUGAAGUACAGAGGUUCGUGCGCGGCCCAUUCGCGGCCCCGACUAGGUAGGUUGCUCGCAACUUCUAGGCGGAGGCUCGGUGCCGUGUGCUAUGAGCCACGAAGGAUACUAACUUUCCAUUCGACCUGAGUUCAGGUGAGGCUACCCGCUGAACUUAAGCUAUUUCUAAUAAAGCAC
rnacentral:rRNA from 1 species